AAAAAUGUUUUUAGUACAUUAAUGGAUCUUGAGAGAGGAAAUGUCAUUGCUGGCUAUGCUGAGCUACAAUUAUAUCAACCUUGACAACAGAGAAUUCCUCCCUCACAAAGUGCUGUUUUCAUGAGCUGAUAGUAAGACUCUUUGAACAAGCUUUCAGCCGGACCUGUGACAGGGUGAAAUGAGAUCAGCCUGAAAUGAACACCAUGUUUUGUCUGGGAGUCAAUUGCUAAAUCAUUAUUUACCAAUGCAAAGAAGAAACUUCAAGGCCACAGAGUGGGCUGCAUACCGACAGGGUCUGACGAGUCUGUGAUGAUGAUGUCAAAGGCAUCCUGAUUCUUUUUCAUAAAUUCAAAGCCAUCGCCUACAUGCAGAGUAAGUUUGGGGCUGAAGAAGCCUUUUGCCAUUCCAGGGAGGUACUUCUUGGAGACGUUUAUUACAUCCUGGGAGAAAAUGUGAUCCAGUUCAAGAUUUAACUUGAUACAAACCUCAUCAAUCUCGCACUGAACAACAGACUCCACCAGCGGAUGCUUGACAACCUCCCUCAGGACACCACCGUCUCCUCCACCAAUGAUGAGAACCUGACAACAAGAAUAAGGAAAAACAACUAAACCAAAGGAAAAUAAUGUACCAUACAGAAACUAAACACCUAAACAACUAUCCAGUCUGUCCUGGUCGGCCUUUUGGUCCCUGUUAAACUUCUCUAGCUCCUGUGCCAAGGUAGCUGCCCGCUUACUGGCCUCCUCCUUCAGCCUGUGAUACUGCUUCACCUGUGAUAACAGUAAAGUGUAAAAUGAAACACUGAAAUUUAUAAACAUAGUUGCAUUUUCAUAUUUCAUGAGUACGGCUAACCUGGUUCUCCUCCAGUGUCAA